CUUUUUUUGUCGGAUUGUUUUUUUUUUGUUCUCUCCUGAAACGAAUAAAAUCCUUACAGUAUCUGAUUCCAACGAUGUUGCUCUUUACUUGAUUUCAUAAUCUCUGGAAUUAUGCCGUCGCAAAGGAAGGUGGGAGCGGAAUAUUACCUUUGUAUGUUUUCACUUUGACAAAUCUGAGGAUGCAAAACACAAUGACACCAUUUGAUGCAAAUGAGCCCCACAAGUGUUAAGCUGGAUUCUCCUGUGUUGGCUGUAUACUGGCGCCAAUUAUGAAGGACUUUGACCUGGAUUCUCCAUGCAGUCUUAGUCUUGUAUGGACAAUGUCUCUGAGGAAACCAAAAGAAGCCGCCAUUGUUUUAGAAAAUUAGGCCUGAAGUAGAAGGAAGUUAAGAGGUCUUAUACUUUCUAUAUUUUCGGCAAAAGAAGCUGUAUUAUUGUUUUUUAAAUUUUUGUUGAUUUUAAUUAUAAUGGCAUGAUUGUAAAUAGUUCUGAACUUGAAGCCUUCUUUGCUAAAAUUGCUGUGAAAAUGUUAAUAUAGAUUUUAAAUUUGCUU